rnacentral:rRNA from 1 species
GACGAACGCUGGCGGCGUGCCUAACACAUGCAAGUCGAACGGACAGGCCCUGCUUUUGUGGGGUGCUCGAGUGGCGAACGGGUGAGUAACACGUGAGUAACCUGCCCUAGACUUUGGGAUAACUUCAGGAAACUGGGGCUAAUACCGGAUAGGAGCACCUGCUGCAUGGGGGGGGUUGGAAAGUUUCGGCGGUUGGGGAUGGGCUCGCGGCUUAUCAGCUUGUUGGUGGGGUAGUGGCUUACCAAGGCUUGGACGGGUAGCCGGCCUGGGAGGGUGACCGGCCACAUUGGGACUGAGAUACGGCCCAGACUCGUACGGGAGGCAGCGGUGGAGAAUAUUGCACAGUGGGCGGAAGCCUGAUGCAGCAACGCCGCGUGCGGGAUGACGGCCUUCGGGUUGUAAACCGCUUUCGCCUGUGACGAAGCGUGAGUGACGGUAAUGGGUAAAGAAGCACCGGCUAACUACGUG